rnacentral:rRNA from 1 species
GACGAACGCUGGCGGCGUGCUUAACACAUGCAAGUCGUACGGUAAGGCCCUUUCGGGGGUACACGAGUGGCGAACGGGUGCGUAACACGUGAGUAACCUGCCCACAACUUUGGGAUAACGCUAGGAAACUGGUGCUAAUACUGGAUAUGUGCUCCUGCUGCAUGGUGGGGGUUGGAAAGCCCCGGCGGUUGUGGAUGGACUCCCGUCCUAUCAGCUUGUUGGUGGGGUAGUGGCCUACCAAGGCGGCGACGGGUAGCCGGCCUGAGAGGGUGACCGGCCACACUGAGACUGAGAUACGGUCCAGACUCCUACGGGAGGCAGCAGUGGUGAAUAUUGCACAAUGGACGCAAGCCUGAUGCAGCACCGCCGCGUGCGGGAUGACGGCCUUCGGGUUGUAAUCCGCUUUCAGCAGGGACGAAGCUUUUUGUGACGGUACCUACAGAAGAAGCACCGGCUAACUACGUG